rnacentral:rRNA from 1 species
UACGGAGGGUGCAAGCGUUACCCGGAAUCACUGGGCGUAAAGGGCGCGUAGGCGGCGCUCCAAGUUAGGCGUGAAAGUCCUGGGCUCAACCUGGGAACUGCGCUUGAUACUGGAGUGCUUGAGGAUGGAAGAGGGUUGUGGAAUUCCCAGUGUAGAGGUGAAAUUCGUAGAUAUUGGGAAGAACACCGGUGGCGAAGGCGGCAACCUGGUCCAUUACUGACGCUGAGGCGCGACAGCGUGG